rnacentral:RNase_P_RNA from 1 species
ACAGUGCCUCGGUUCUGUCGCUGCUGUGCUUGUGCGCAGGAGAGGAAAGUCCGGGCAGCAUAGGGAACCCCACUUCCGAAAAUAGAAGCUGUCGGCGACGGCAGGUGUCGGUAGAAGAAAACAACCGCCAUGCCUUGUGUGUGGUAAGGGUGAGAAGGCGUGUGUAAGAGACCACCAGCCGAUGGGCAAUCAUCGGGCUGUACCAUCUGGGGGCUGCAAGUUCAUGUAUACCAUCGUUUGAGGGCUUCCCGUCCGAUUUCCUUUCGAGGAUACGGUGGAGGGUAGAAUGCUAGAGACGCAGGGCGACUUGCGUAGUAGAUAAAUGGCAGAAGGCUCGUACGUCAGUAAUGGUGUGUGAGAAACAGAACCCGGCUUACAGAGGCACUGUUUCC